CCGUGUGCUUUUCAAAAUGGUGGAAUGAUUUCAGCAUCCUGUGUUCUCACGUGCAUGGACGUAGUUCCAUGGCUCUUACAGACUUAAACUAGUGCAGGAUUUGGUCCUUUACAUCCGUAGCCCAAACUGCAAAUUGGAAAUCCUUUGACGAGAGGGAAAAAAGAGAAAGUGACUCAAGAACACUGAGUUUAAAGACACAAGAAAAUCUAAUGAUAUUGAUAGAAGCAAUGUUAUGCGUUAACUUAGAUCUAAAUAAAGUAUUUGGACUUCAGAUACCUGCUGGGUUAAGUACUGUGUAGGAAUCACUGAGCUGAGCACUAAAAUAAAGCCACUUCAGAGGAGGAAGCGACUUUAAAUCUACAGAAAGCAGCUUUACAUUCCAACUGCAGAGAGGCAGCAAAGAAUACUAUACUUAAGCAGAAAUUGCAGGAAGCACGUGGGAGGCAAUAGCCAUCCUCUGCACCAGGGUUUAGUGGAGGACAGUGACUGGUUCAGGAAAAUCUCUGCUCCACAGUGAGAUGUACCACCAAGGGGCACCCUGCUUCCCAAGGGCUUGCAGCCAGUUUAGGGGUGAGCCCCCUGGAAUUGCAGGGAUGGACUCAAAAUUAGAACAGCCAGAAAUAAAACACAAGAUCUUGGACCCAAUACAAUAGACCUUGAAGGUUAUAGAAGAGUCAUAGGGAUCAGAUGUCACCCAGUGAUUAGGGGAGGGUGGGAUAAUAUCAAAGAGAAGGCAGGGUAGCUAUGUAAAGAGGAAGAAAACUCCUUCAAUUAAACCCUAGAUCUAUGAGUCAGAAGAUCUAGUUUAUACACUUGGCACAGCUGAAAACUUCCUAUGACAUCUUCAGCAAAUAUGCCUUGCUCUGGGAUACAACCGGAUAAUUAUUUUGAAGGUCCAAAGCUUUAAAUCAACUGAAGUUCAUAGACUGCUUGGAGCUCCUGAGGUAGGAAACACUCUUACCUCAGAACCCAGCAGUGAAACUCUCCUGCUGCCCAUCUGCUGCACACAGUGCAGGCACUCCCAGUAGGACAUCAUACACAGCAGUGCUCGCACUGAUGUAAAACAUGCUUUAGCACUUGCUGCUUAGUGCCAUUAACAACAAUAGCCCAGCACACCGCUUCCUCCUUUGCUUCCUGUCCCUUACAACUCGCUGUAUCCCACCUCAUUCUUCAUGAACGGGAACUGUUCCUAUCAUAAUACCAGGUAUAUCCAAGCAAACAGGAAAAAACAGAUUUGUUACUGGGUGCUGUGGGAAGGGGAGAGGAUGGUGACGGACAGUUUUGGCAGCAAUGUCAAUGGUGCCAGGUGUGGCAGUUUCGUUAACUACCACCCUGUCAAAAAAGCCAGAUCUAUGGGGAUUCCUAUUUGGAGAAGACUCUUUGACACGCUUUUGGCUCUUAUCUUGAACCAACAUUGCAUGCUGUUCAUCACAGGCCAUGACAGAAAUUUUAUCAGCAUCAGCAGCAACCAGAGUAGCAGAAUAUCCUCUGUGGAAUAAAUAAACCACCAAAAAAACCCUGCUGUUUACCUUGAGUAACAUCAGUUGUUCUACCAUUUCUAGCUUUCAGUUGGAGUUCUUUGGCUCUGAGCUGAAGAGAGCAAGUUCAGAGUAUCGGCAGGAAGGAGUACAGCAUCCAGAUGUAUUUGACAGAAGUAAAAACCUGUGUAAGCCCUACAUUUCUUGUCUGAAAGUCACCACCCCAAAAUAGCUUGUGAUUGAGUUAUUUUUAUUUAGAGAAGAGCCUGUGCCUUGAGUUUGGAUGCUAGUCCAAAUUCCAGCAGAGUUUUGGACUGUUGUUAAGGUAGGAUGCUUCAUUCUGGCCCAGUUCAGAAACAGAAUGGCCAGCAAGGAUGACCAGUACUCUUGCUUGCUCUGUUUUGCCCGUGUACACGUCAAGGAAUCUCCAGCAGUUCUGUGGUUUUGGAUCUGGAAAACCUGCAAGAAUUCCAGGAUCUCUUAAAAACACCCACAGGCUUUCAUCCCAGUUCUUCCCAUUCCUCCCAUUCCUGAAUGAACACCCGAGUGCAUGAGCUUUCUUCUUUGCCCCAACUUAAGCAUUUUAUUGUAACUUGCUGGUUCAGCUUUAACCAUAGUGGUGUUAAUAUACUAAUUAAUAACAAUUUCUUAUAUGAGCUCUGGUAGAAAACUUGGAUAAUAACAAACUCUUGGUUACCUGAGCUUUGGCCACAUGAGGUUACCUGACCCCGUAGGAGGCUGACACAUCUCCACAUACAUCAUUUCAGUCACUCAUGUAAGAAACAAGCACUUUGCAUAUAUUUUAAGCACAAGAUCUAUACAAAAUAUCCGAGCACAUGUUCACUCAUAAAAGCAAACCCCAAACAGCAGCUACAUUGCCUGUUCCAGAAGAUGUACCCAGCCCCACACACAUGCCUUGCCCAUCUUCAGGCCUGCAGGAGGCAAUGCAAGAGCUGCCUGGGGCUGUGGGAAUGCUCUGCAGGAUAGGCUGAGGCCUUCUUUUCUCCUUUCUCUCCUUUCCAAAACUCACAGUAAAGUGAACGUUCUCUCUUUUAAAGGUAAUGCAAUUUCAGCUGUGUUAAAUAACACCACCUUUAUCAGCACUUUCAGCUAUCUGAGUGACUUCACCGAACAGAUCAGGAAGACUUUAGACUACCUUUUCUAACAGCAGAGCAACAGGUAUGGCAACCAUCAGCAGAGGGUUGGUAGCAAGCAUCUGGAAUGGCUGUAAGAUCUCCAGCCAGCUCAGCUGUUUGAAAAUAAAUGUCUGUCCAGAGCCCUUUGGAACUGAGCUGAUACAUCUUCAGACAUCCCUUACAUCAAUCUCCAGUAAGCUCAAGAGAUUUAUGAUAAACACUUGCUCUUUCCUUAACCUCCAAAACCUUUCCCACCUGCUGAAUAACAUGAAAUUCUUUCCCCUCACCCAGCCUGUUCAAUAUCUAUAUAAAGCCUGUAGAGAAUAUUCAGUGGCACCAUGGACUGACUUGUCAGCAGUACACAUAUGACACCCAUCUCUACAUCAUCUUCACCUCCCAUGCAAAUAACACCGUUACCCAGCUCUACAAGGGCUUGGCUGAGAUCAGCAAAUGAAUGAAGAGAAGUUGGCAGAAGCUGAAUUGUUGCAAGAGCCUGGGCUCAAGAUGGUAGAGGAAAGCAUUUCACAUUUCCAUAAUGUCAUUCAUUCUCCAUCACUGGCAUUAAGACAAAAUGGAGAUUUAAUAUUUAUCCGAACUCAUUCCUUCUAGAAAUCCCAAGAGCUGUUGCUGCAAAUACCUCUGUUCUUCACAGCUAUUUCUGAUCAGACGACCUGCUAGAUUGAACUUGCUCCUUAUGCUUGAUUUCUACAGACACGGUGGGUUUAGAAAUGAUGCCCCAUACAAAAAUGUCGGUCCGUUUAUUCAGCAACACAAGACCUCCAAACAAGUUCAAACUCUGAUCUUUGCUCCGCUCACCGCUUAGUCCCAAAGGCCUUAUUUUCAAAGCUUUCAACACCUUAGCAAAAAUUGGUGCGAAGACAGCCACAGCUAUGUUGAAAUCUGGCAGUCAUACUGCCCUGUGACACAAUAAAUACCCAGUUUGAAGGAUAGGUGCGCUAGGGACAGAUUCUCUAGUGCUUAGUUCACAACUGCAAAAUCCGGACUACUUGCAGGGAAAAACCAUAAAUCUCAAAAGUCUAGAACAAAAGAGAAAACUCCGGGUUUUCAACCCAGCCUCCCCUCCUCUAUUCUAACUGUACCAAAACAACCAGUACUAACAACUAAUCCACGUCUGACAGAUGUGUUGAAGACUGAUUUCCAAGGGCCCAUUCCAUGGCAGCUUCACUGGUACGUGGUAAAAGGUGAUCUGAGCUGACAGCACCAGGAUGUCUCUAGCACAAAAAAAGCCCUCUCCUGUGCCUACCUAGCCCUUCUUUUUAAAACAUUUUGGAACUUCAGUUUGAAAUCUCAAUUAUUUUGCCAAAUUCAGCCAAAAUCAACCAGCAGGCCCACACUUUUGGAGAGGUUAGGGCACAGUGGAAUCACAUACAUGGACUUAUACACAGAGCAUGAAUUCAGACACGCUGUUUUAUUGGGAAACAAAAUCAUUGGCAAAACUAAGAAGUCCCUCAAGUAGAAUGUAGGAGAAGAAAAGUGAGAGAAACGCUGAAGAUGCUUUGUGCUCAUUUUUAUAAGCAUGUAAAGUCAUCUGAGGCACACAAAUUAAGGUAUCCAGGAACAUCUUGUCAGCCAAUGCCUUCCAAUACACCAGCGACAGUCAGGCAAUCACAACCUAGAGAAUCACGCGGCCAUUUUCAAAUGAGCCACAGCAAUAUCCUAGAUUUUUCAGAUCUGAAAAAAAAUGUAUUUCCUCCUAAAGGAAAUACAAAGGCUGUUUUUCAAUUAUAUGAGAUGCAACUGAAGUCAGCAAUUCUAGGAGAUGCUAUUGAAAUGCACCUGUAUCUUAGUGCUACCCGAGGAGCGGGGAGGCAUGUAUGAAGGUCACAUUUCCAUGUUACUUUGAAUUACCUGACCACCGCUCAGUUGCAAUAUAUCUAACUAUGUUUAAAUGGCCUGCCAAGGAAAAUAAAACAGAGGAACCUCAGCAGAGAAAUCAACGAGCAGAUGCUCUGAAAAUGCAGACUCCUCCCAACACAUCUAGUGUUGCAUGACUCCUCCAAUCGGUUUCACGUGGAAGGAAAAACAUGAAUGUCUGAGCAGGAAUAAUGUUCAGAACAGUACAAAAGGCCUGUGAUCCAUCCUGCUUUCUUCAGCACAAAAACAAGCUCUGAAGAAUACAUAAAGAUAUUUAUUUCUGACAGCAGCUGGCAAUAGCUUGUGCACUUCAAAUGCAAGCCCAAGAACCUUUCAAAUGGUUAAAGGUGCGCAAAGGCUGGAAAGCUCAGAAGUCUUGCCAAGGAUGAUACAACUGAUGAAUUUGUUAACCUCACAUUCCUGUGAAUUUUUCACCACAGCAACCAUUCAACGUGACAUCUGCGUGAGUCUGCUCAGACCUUUGGGCUCACCUGACAAGAAGGAAGUUUCCGGGCGAAUUGUCUGAAGAAGAAACUUGGAAUGACCAAAGAGGCCCAUUCAAAGCCUGCGCCACUGUGGGGUUAUAUCUCGCCAGGCUCUCAUGAUGAUUGAUUUCCGCAGCAACAUUUGUGUUGGCACACAGUGCCAGUGAGUCAGCAUUUUUAAGUUACAACUGAGAAAACAAGUUUAAAAAAAAAAGGAAAAAAAUGUAAUACUGCUUCCAUUAUUUGCUAAGGCAACCAGCGCAUCAUAGGGUGAGAGCCCAAACUUCGCUGCCAUCCAACCUCCUCCCUGCUGCCUCCCAAAAGUUUGCCUUGUUUUCCUAAGCUGACGACCCACAAAUCAAAAAGUGUGCUGCUUCCUUCUGCCUCGUGUCCUCUGUCCUGCUCACACAUGUGCUCACCCCACAGCGGGCACCCAGAGCGAAACGGGAUUGCGUUCCUCUAGUCCGGAGCGUGAGCACAGCCCGGGGUGGGGCUGUUGGAGGAUCAGCUCUUAAUAAGAUGUUGCUUUUGCACAAACUUUUUGCUGUUUCCCAGGCUGGAAAUAUAAAGAGGAAGGAAAACAAGAAGGAUCCACCCGUAUCUGGUUGGAGACAGCAAACUGCGGCUAAAUGCACAAACUAUCUGCUAGCUUAAUAGGAAAUAAACCCCUGGCAUUUGCUUAUUCCAAGAAGGCAGAAUUUCAACCUACAGUCGUGCUCCCGGGGAGCGCCUCCAUGCCAAGAGACGUCUGUAUAAGGAGCGCUCUGUACAGCAGCCCCGGACGUGUGGGACAGCAGGCACCGAGGAGUGCGGCUGCUGGGGGGAGCAGCGGCACGGGACAUAAGCAGAGGGAUGUGAUGCCUUCUGCUAAAGAGAGGCUAAUUCUGUCUCCCUAAAGGGCGGCUGGUUACGGCACGGGAGCGCAAAGUUAAUAAACCAACCCUUUUAAAUGCUGUCUUCUACAUACGCUGUCUCGAGACGUACCAACCACGUUAUCUGCGGUGUCGAUGUUUUCCUCCUUGCACAUCAACACGGCCACAAACGUUUGUUUUCUCCAGAGGGAGCUGAGGUCCAUCAGACGGAACUAGCUAGCUGCGGGGCAACCAAACCAAGCAGCCUGGCAACCACAGCAGGAGCUGGCAGGCAGGGAGCUGGCUGGGGCCGCAGCCUCCCGCGUCCCUCUCGCAUCC
ensembl:lncRNA